GUUUUACAUCGCGCGACUGCUCCGCUUAUAGCGGGGAGGAAAGUCCGAACACGUCCGGCUUUAAGCCGGAGGACGGUAGCGGGUAACGCCCGUCUGCCUCGCUUAUAGCGUGGCAAGGGAUGCGAGCAGAGACGUUGGCUUAAGAGAUUAAGCCAAAGCCCUUAUGGGGUUAGCUCGGGCGGAAACGCUCGGGGUGAAACGGCUAAAUUCCUACCUACGCGCAAGGCCGUAUUCUGUCAGGUUUAAAGCUUGACAGAAAGUGCCGCUUGACCGCCGGAGUAAUUCGGCGGCUAGAUAAAUAGUCGCGCUUUGCUUUUCGCCAUUUGGCGAGGCAAAGACAGAAUUCGGCUUAUAGAUGUGAAAUCAAA
rnacentral:RNase_P_RNA from 1 species